rnacentral:rRNA from 1 species
GAUGAACGCUGGCGGCGUGCCUAAUACAUGCAAGUCGAGCGAACAGACGAGGAGCUUGCUCCUCUGACGUUAGCGGCGGACGGGUGAGUAACACGUGGAUAACCUACCUAUAAGACUGGGAUAACUUCGGGAAACCGGAGCUAAUACCGGAUAAUAUAUUGAACCGCAUGGUUCAAUAGUGAAAGACGGUUUUGCUGUCACUUAUAGAUGGAUCCGCGCCGCAUUAGCUAGUUGGUAAGGUAACGGCUUACCAAGGCAACGAUGCGUAGCCGACCUGAGAGGGUGAUCGGCCACACUGGAACUGAGACACGGUCCAGACUCCUACGGGAGGCAGCAGUAGGGAAUCUUCCGCAGUGGGCGAAAGCCUGACGGAACAACGCCGCGUGAGUGAUGAAGGUCUUCGGAUCGUAAAACUCUGUUAUUAGGGAAGAACAAAUGUGUAAGUAACUAUGCACGUCUUGACGGUACCUAAUCAGAAAGCCACGGCUAACUACGUG